GAGGCAGCCAGUGGGGGAAUAUUGGGACAAUGGGGGGAAAGCCUGAUCCAGCAAUGCCGCGUGGAUGAAGAAAGGUCUUCGGAUUGUAAAGUCCUUUUGGGCGGGGGACGAUGAUGACGGUACCCGCAGAAUAAGCUCCGGCUAACUUCGUGCCAGCAGCCGCGGUAAUACGAAGGGGGCUAGCGUUGCUCGGAAUGACUGGGCGUAAAGGGCGCGUAGGCGGACGGCACAGUCAGGCGUGAAAUUCCUGGGCUCAACCCGCGGACUGCGUCUGAGACGUGUUGUCUUGAGUAUGGAAGAGGGUUGUGGAAUUUCCAGUGUAGAGGUGAAAUUCGUAGAUAUUGGAAAGAACACCGGUGGCGAAGGCGGCAACCUGGUCCAUUACUGACGCUGAGGCGCGAAAGCGUGGGGAGCAAACAGGAUUAGAUACCCUGGUAGUCCACGCUGUAAACGAUGUGUGCUGGAUGUUGGGGUGCUUAGCACUUCAGUGUCGUAGCUAAC
rnacentral:rRNA from 1 species